UGCUGAAAAAUGAGGAAAAUUUUACAUUUUCUCAAACAGGGUAUGGAACUUGGUUCCUCGAAUAACUUCUGGCACAGACAUCUGCGGACAUGGCCGUCCAAGAAGAAAAUGUAGCCAUUGGUGCCAUCUAUCGACCACAGGUUAAAGAUUGGCGAUCCGUUGGAUACCGACCGAGUUAUAGGCAAAACUUGGUGCAAAAAUGAGGAAAAUUUUACAUUUUCUCAAACAGGGUAUGGAACUUGUUUCCUCGAAUAACUUCUGGCACAGACAUCUGCGGACAUGGCCGUCUGAGAAGAAAAUGUAGCCAUUGGUGCCAUCUAUCGACCACAGGUUAAAGAUUGGCGAUCCGUUGGAUACCGACCGAGUUAUAGGCAAAACUUGGUGCAAAAAUGAGGAAAAUUUUACAUUUUCUCAAACAGGGUAUGGAACUUGUUUCCUCGAAUAACUUCUGGCACAGACAUCUGCGGACAUGGCCGUCUGAGAAGAAAAUGUAGCCAUUGGUGCCAUCUAUCGA